UCGGAUUAGUGCAGAAUACGCGCCAAGAAAUAGCCGACGUUUUAAUCACUCGUCGGUUAUUUUUUUGC
rnacentral:sRNA from 1 species